rnacentral:rRNA from 1 species
UAGGGAAUCUUCCACAAUGGGCGAAGCCUGAUGGAGCAACGCCGCGUGUGUGAUGAAGGCUUUCGGGUCGUAAAGCACUGUUGUAUGGGAAGAACAGCUAGAAUAGGAAAUGAUUUUAGUUUGACGGUACCAUACCAGAAAGGGACGGCUAAAUACGUGCCAG